AAUGAACGUUGGCGGCGUGGAUUAGGCAUGCAAGUCGAGCGAGAACCGUAGCAAUACGGGGACAGCGGCGAAAGGGAGAGUAAUACGUGGGUACCUACCCUCGGAUCUGGGAUAGCUACGGGAAACUGUAGGUAAUACCGGAUAACGUCUUCGGACCAAAGGUGUGAUUCCGUCCGGGGAGGGGCCCGCGUCCUAUUAGCUAGUUGGUGAGGUGACGGCUCACCAAGGCGAAGAUGGGUACGGGGUGUGAGAGCAUGCCCCCGCUCACUGGGACUGAGACACUGCCCAGACACCUACGGGUGGCUGCAGUCGAGAAUCUUCGGCAAUGGGCGCAAGCCUGACCGAGCGACGCCGCGUGCGAGAUGAAGGCCUUCGGGUUGUAAAUCGCUGUCAGUGGGGA
rnacentral:rRNA from 1 species